rnacentral:rRNA from 1 species
GCGGGUUUAUGUUCGGGUACGUUUCGACGGACGCUAAUACCGCAUACGUCCUACGGGAGAAAGCAGGGGACCUUCGCCGCUACAUAGCUAUCAGAUGAGCCUAGGUCGGAUUAGCUAGUUGGUGGGUGUAAAGGCCUACCAAGGCGACGAUCCGUAACUGGUCUGAGAGGAUGAUCAGUCACACUGGAACUGAGACACGGUCCAGACUCCUACGGGAGGCAGCAGUGGGGAAUAUUGGACAAUGGGCGAAAGCCUGAUCCAGCCAUGCCGCGUGUGUGAAGAAGGUCUUCGGAUUGUAAAGCACUUUAAGUUGGGAGGAAGGGCAGUAAGUUAAUACCUUGCUGUUUUGACGUUACCAACAGAAUAAGCACCGACUAACUUCGUGCCAGCAGCCGCGGUAAUACGAAGGGUGCAAGCGUUAAUCGGAAUUACUGGGCGUAAAGCGCGUGUAGGUGGUUUGGUAAGAUGGAUGUGAAAUCCCCGGGCUCAACCUGGGAACUGCAUCCAUAACUGCCUGACUAGAGUACGGUAGAGGGUGGUGGAAUUUCCUGUGUAGCGGUGAAAUGCGUAGAUAUAGGAAGGAACACCAGUGA